UGGGGAAUAUUGCACAAUGGAGGAAACUCUGAUGCAGCGACGCCGCGUGAGUGAAGAAGUAUUUCGGUAUGUAAAGCUCUAUCAGCAGGGAAGAAAUGACGGUACCUGACUAAGAAGCACCGGCUAAAUACGUGCCAGCAGCCGCGGUAAUACGUAUGGUGCAAGCGUUAUCCGGAUUUACUGGGUGUAAAGGGAGCGUAGGUGGCAAGGCAAGCCAGAAGUGAAAACCCGGGGCUCAACCGCGGGAUUGCUUUUGGAACUGUCAUGCUGGAGUGCAGGAGGGGUGAGCGGAAUUCCUAGUGUAGCGGUGAAAUGCGUAGAUAUUAGGAGGAACACCGGGAGGCGAAGGCGGCUCACUGGACUGUAACUGACACUGAGGCUCGAAAGCGUGGGGAGCGAACAGGGAUUAGAUACCCUGGUAGU
rnacentral:rRNA from 1 species